GUCCCCGGCGUCCGGGCGCCCUGCAUGGAUCCCCCACCCCAGCUCCUGCUCCCCGGCGGCGGCCGGUGGGCAGAAAGACCGAAACCCACUCACGGCCGCCUGCCGAAUCGCGGCUCUGCUGUUUGUGGGGCGUGCUAGAAACGUGGUCCUAAAAAGAAUGGCGUCCAUUUACAUAAUGCUUUGUUUGCGUUUCGCAAGUUUCUUUCGGUUAAAGCCACAGAAACCCCACCUCCUGCCCUUGUGUCGUUUCCACCGCGGCACCCUUUUCCGACAUUAGAAACAAUAGUGUACGCCUGUGGAGGCCUCGUUUGUUCAGGGGCUGCCGGCCAGGGCUUCAGGACGUUUCUGCGGCUUUCCCCGCGCGGCCUGGGCUCCCGCGGCUGCUUUUCGGGCCCAUGGGCGCAGCCACUGCGCCAGGCUCAAGGGGGGCGGCCCCGUCAGGGCCCGCCAUCUUGGAAGGCCUUUUUUGCCGGUUCUUCCCGCUGAGGAAGUGUCGCUCAAGACGCUGGCCUAUGAGUUGUGAUUUCUGCCUUUUCCCCUUCCUCCUUGGGCUAAGCCAGACCAGAAAGGGCCCCGUGCGCAACGUGCUUCACAAUCUCUCAGGGAAAGCGGCUAACGUGGCGCUACUCCGCCUCCCCUGUUCCUUACCCUUGGGGCGGCCGCCAUGUUUCCUGAACACAAAAUGGCGACACGUGGUUAGCAUUCGUCGCCAACGAGAAAUUGGGGUCGGCCCGAAAGCUCUAGAAUGCACCCCUCUUCCUCCCCGGGGCCUUCCACCUCCGCGAGUUUUAUGACUUAAAAAAGCCCACAGGCUGGUCUGAAGGUCGGAGGCCUAAUUUUAACGCGUUUUCCUCCCUUUAAUUUGAAACGGGAACGCGAAUGACUGUAAAAUGUGGGCACAAUAUUUAAUCUCUCGCCUUUUUAAAGCUUAAUAGUGGAUAAUAGGGGGGCAGUAUCAAGGGAUAAUUUGGGUCCCCACAGUACCAAAGCAUUUAGAAACCUCUGUUUAAUUUAAGGAAUGAGAUAAGUUACUGCUUUUCUAGACUUCCUAGCAUGGGCUGUUGUGCUGGAGAGAACGAGAGCUACGAAGAGACUACAGUGCCUCUGACUUUUUCAUAGGACAGUUGGCCGAGGAAGACAAACAUAAAGAUGAAGUGCUUAAUUCAAGGUCACACAAUGUCGGGGAUGGACCUCCAGAUUUCCUUACUGACCUGCAUUAUCUUGUGGAUACCUGAGUGAAUUCCACACCACCCAUUUUAUAGAUGAAACCACUGAGACAUGGAGCAAUUGACUGAGUAGUCACUGCCCCACCCCUGCCUGGAGCCUCACACAUGACUCGCCUCCUCUCAGUGACCACAGGAAAACAAGCUCAGGGCUCCCACUGAUUGUACAUUAUGGUGAGACGUGGUCUUGUAACACAGUGGUUAAGAAUGUGACUUUGGAGCCAGCCUGCUAGGGGCUGAAUUCUGACUCAGCCAUUUACUAACUGUGUGACCUUAGGUAAGUCAUUUACCUUCUUUGUCCCUCAGUUUCAUCUCGGUUAAGUAGGGAUAAUGAUAGCACCUAUUUUAUAGGGUUAUUGUGAGGAAUAAAUCCAAGUAAAAUGCUUAGAAUAGUAACUGAAACAUAGCACUCAUUAGGAAUGCUUUAAUUUUCAUUUAUUUGAGUAUUAAAGGUUGAAUUUUCAGAGGUAUUUUGGACCUUUGUAUUUUUUCUUUAAAUCACUUAUUCAUGACUUUUGAACUUUUUUUUUUCUUUUAGAGACAGGGUCUUGGUUUGUUGUCUAGGCUGGAAUGCAGUGGUGCAAUCAUAGCUCACUGUAGCCUUGAACUCUUGGGCUCAAGAGAUCCUCCUGCCUCAGCCUCGUGAGUAGCUGGGCCUACAGGCGCCUGCUACCACACCUGGCUAAUUUUUUAUUUUUUGUAGAGAUGGGUUCUUGCAGCCCAGACUGGUCUUGAGCUUUGGCCUGAAGUGCUCCUCCUGCCUUGGCCUCUCAAAGCAUUGGGGUUACAGGUGUGAAGCACUGCACCUUGCCUACACAUUUUUUCCAAUAAUUUUUUUUAUUAAUUUGUAAGAGUUAACAUGUCGACUAUCAUAUAUAACAUAGAAUUGUUCCCAUUUUGUCAUUUCCUUUCAACUUUGUCUAUGUAGCUUUUUUUCUGUGUGCAAAUUUUACAUUUUUAGGUAGUCAGAAAAUCUCUUCCCUUGUAAUUUUUUCUGCUACUAGACCAAUGUUUAGAAAAAAGCGUGCUUCCCCACCUCAAAAUUAUAAAAAUAGUUACUUGUUCUUUUUGAGUACUGUGUGUGUUUAAAUCUUUAAUCUUUAAAUUUAAAUCUUUGAUCCAUCUGGUAUUUAUUUUGAUAUGAAGAGAGUGGUUGGGAUCUGGCUGUAUUUCUUUUUUCUUUUUUUUUCUUUUUUCUUUUUUUGACGAAGUCUCACUGUUGCUCAGGCUGGAGUGCAAUGGCAUGAUCUCGGCUCAUCACAACCUCUGCUUCCUGGGUUCAAGCGAUUCUCCUGCCUCAGCCUCCCGAGUACCUGGGACUACAGGCACUCGCCACCAUGCCCGGCUGAUUUUUGUAUUUUUAAUAGAGAUGGUUUCACUAUGUUGGCCAGGCUGGUCUCGAACUCCUGACCUUGUGAUCUGCCCACCUCAGCCUCGAAAAGUGCUGGGAUUACAGGCGUGAGCCACUGCGCCCAGCCUUGUAUUUUUUUUCAGUUUGGGUAGCUGUCCCUAAUUCAUUUGUUAAAGGAGAAGCAAGAGCAAGAACCUUUAAUCUGUUCUCCUCUUCCCUAAUUUGAAAGUAGCUUGUUAUUUUGAAUAUCACUUUCUCUGAAAUAGCACAUCUCCAUCUCAGAGAAUGGAUUUAAUGUUUGGAUACAGCCAAAAGUCAUUUCAUUACCAAACCAUGGGGUGAAUAUACCAUGUAAAGCAGUUUGGGAUCAGAACUCACAGUCUGAAUUGUAAGUGAUGAGACUGCUGUCUCUCUGCUACAGCUUCUUGGCUGGCUCUGAAGGCUCUUUGAAGGCAGAUCCUAACAAGGGGACUGCUUUGAAGGGCCAUUGUUCAUUUGGAAUGAUAAAGUCUAUGUUGUUCAAAAAACAAAUGCUUGUAGCAGGUAUUUUUUCACUCCAGACUGAGAAUAUUGGUGGGAUAUUGAUAAGGGGUACUGAAUGGUAAUAAACAUGUGCUCUAGCUCUGUGCUAGUCAGCUUAUUUCAGAACUCUAGUUUGAUUCAGUUUCUUGCCUCUGACUCAAAAUGGAGGGAGAGUGAUUUUUACAUAAGAGAACACACCCACAUAUCCUUUUGGCAGCAGCUACCUGCCAGAGAUGUUGAAGAAGAGUAGCCAACCUUUACACAGCAGAUAUUGUGUGCCAGUCAUAGUCCUAAGUAUAAUACCUUACAUGUAUAAACUUCUUAUAAGGUUGGUGCUCUGUACCGAAUUGAAUAGUAUCCCCCAAAAUUCAUGUUGUCCCAGAACCUAUGAAAGUGAUCUUACUUGAGGGAGGGGGGAGGGGGGAGGGAUAGCAUUAGGAGAUAUACCUAAUGCUAAAUGACGAGUUAAUGGGUGUAGCACACCAGCAUGGCACAUGUAUACAUAUGUAACUAACCUGCACAUUGUGCACAUGUACCCUAAAACUUAAAGUAUAAUAAUAAUAAAAUAAAAAAAAAAAAGAAAGUGAUCUUACUUGGAAAUAAGGUCUUUGCACAUAUGAUCAAGUUGAGAUGAAGUUGUACUGGAAAGUCUGUCUAGUGACUGGUGUUGUCAUAAGAAGAGAGGGACACAGAGGGAAGAUGGCCACAUGAAGAUGGAGGCAGAGAUUGCAGUUAUGCUGCUGCAAACUAAGGAAUGGCUCUGGCCCUCCAAGGAUUGCUGAUAACCACCAGAAACUAGAAGAGACAAGGAAGGAUUCUUCCCUAGAGCCUUCAGAGGGAGCAUGGCCCUACUGACACCUGGAUUUCAAACUUGUAGCUUCCUAAACUGCAAGAGAAUAAAUUUCUGUUGUUUUAAGCCA
rnacentral:lncRNA from 1 species